rnacentral:misc_RNA from 1 species
GUGAAGAACGCAGUGAAAUGCGAUAAGUAAUGUGAAUUGCAGAAUUCAGUGAAUCAUCGAAUCUUUGAACGCACAUUGCGCCCGCCAGUAUUCUGGCGGGCAUGCCUGUUCGAGCGUCAUUACAACCCUCAGGCCCCCGGGCCUGGCGUUGGGGAUCGGCGGAAGCCCCCUGCGGGCACAACGCCGUCCCCCAAAUACAGUGGCGGUCCCGCCGCAGCUUCCAUUGCGUAGUAGCUAACACCUCGCAACUGGAGAGCGGCGCGGCCACGCCGUAAAACACCCAACUUCUGAAUGUUGACCUCGAAUCAGGUAGGAAUACCCGCUGAACUUAAGCAUAUCAAUAAGCGGAGGA